AUUGAACGCUGGCGGCAUGCUUUACACAUGCAAGUCGAACGGUAACAGGCCUUCGGGCGCUGACGAGUGGCGAACGGGUGAGUAAUGCAUCGGAACGUGCCCAGUCGUGGGGAUAACGCAGCGAAAGCUGUGCUAAUACCGCAUACGAUCUGCGGAUGAAAGCGGGGGACCUUCGGGCCUCGCGCAAUUGGAGCGGCCGAUGUCAGAUUAGGUAGUUGGUGGGGUAAAGGCUCACCAAGCCAACGAUCUGUAGCUGGUCUGGGAGGACGACCAGCCACACUGGGACUGAGACACGGCCCAAACUCCUACGGGAGGCAGCAGUUGGGAAUUUUGGACAAUGGGCACAAGCCUGAUCCAGCAAUGCCGCGUGCAGGAAGAAGGCCUUCGGGUUGUAAACUGCUUUUGUACGGAGCGAAAAGGCUCCCUCUAAUACAGGGGGCUCAUGACGGUACCGUAAGAAUAAGCACCGGCUAACUACGUGCCAGCCGCCGCCGUAACAC
rnacentral:rRNA from 1 species